GCUUUAUAAUAUAAAAGACAUGAAAAUGUCACUUUUUACAAUAUAUAAUAUAUAUAAUAUAUAUAUAUUAUAUAUAAUAUAUAUAAUACCUUUAAGGAUGACUCUUCUGUUUGCAUGCAGCAUCUUAUCAGACAGACAUUUAAUAGAGAGCAGAGACUUUAUGAGAGUAUUACUUUUUAUGAUACAUGAAAUGCAGAUGUUGACGUACCUAAAGCUGAAUUACCAACAGGGCUAAAUGGGUUAAAGGUCCCCGGGGGCCCCAGAAGGCUCCAGGUUCAGUUUGUGCUCAUUACUGUAAAUUGAUUUAGUUUGUUAAUACUGCAUGGACCACUCACUGGAGGCACAAACUGAACUGAUACAGGAGCCUUCAGGCAACUGAAGACCCGUCUUGUAGAGGGGGAUGGAGGGAUGCUGCGAGGGGGGCCCCGGGGCCCCAUAGUGGGUCAAUCCAGCCCUGUAUGUACCUCUGCUUUCCUCGGUCUUUUUACGAUGUCAUACACAGCAGCACCAGCAGCACCAUCAGUCCUGUUUACUGACGGAUCAGAGUUUAUAUGCACGACAAGCUCCUGGCUCUCUAACGGUUACCUCACCUUUACUCCUCUGUGGCUCCGGAUCACUGCUCUGUCAGAAAUGUAAUAUAUAUGUAUAUAUAUGUAUAUAUAUAUACAUAUAUAUACAGUAUAUGAGAGGGGAGCACCUCAAUUCAUCAUCUCACUUCAACAUUUUACAGGUUUACUGUUUGAGCAGUUAGUGAGUAAAGACAUAGACGUCCAGCAUCUGCACAGUCUGUUUCAGUCUGUUUCAGUCUGUUUCAGUCUGUUUCAGUCUGUUUCAGUCUGUUUAAGUCUGUUAAAGUCUGUUAACGUCUGUUUAAGUCUGUUUCAGUCUGUUUCAGUCUGUUUCAGUCUGUUAAAGUCUGUUAAAGUCUGUUUCAGUCUGUUAAAGUCUGUUUCAGUCUGUUUCAGUCUGUUUCAGUCUGUUAAAGUCGGCCACCGUUACAUAACUGCUCUGAUGACAUAAAUCCAAAUCCAACAAGAAAUGACAAAUCCUUUUGUUGCCAUUAUUUUUUCAUGACUGCAUGAAUCUACGAAGCGGGUGAAGUAAAGUUUCAUUCAAUAUUUAACACGUAAGUGAAGAGCUGCUGAAAUCUACUGAGGAUGACUGAAGGUCCCUUUCACUGCCAGCCGUGUGUGUGUGUGUGUGUGUUUUGAGGACAUGCAUGUGCUUCUGUAAUGUGAGUGUCCUCCCUACAAAACAACAUUACUGUACACAACCUCCAGUAAAUAAUCCAUGAAGAGAAGAGCAGCAGAUCCACUCUGACUGUCACUUCAGUGUCUUCAGUGUGUUCUAGGUCACCGUGCUGUCGGUUCUGGUACCAGCAGACGCUUCUGACUCUGAUUCUGAACAGAUGAUUUGGACUAGAUGAUAAUUAAAGACUAACCAGAGCUGGAAUAAUCCAGAAACAUUGGCUGGAUUAACAGAUUAUACACCCAGAGGGGAAAUGAAUCCCUGCUUUGCUUUAUUUGAGCCUCUGAUGGUGGAAGUCAGAACUGCAGUUUGAAGAGGCCCGGCGUGUAGAACUGGACUGAGACCUGGUUCAGGGUUGAGGGGUUAUGGAGGACUCAAGAGUCUUGUUAAGAUACCGCUGUACCAGAUCAUGAAAUCACACGAUGCUUCCUUCAGAUGGAAUUAAAAUCUGGCACCUUGUAGUUUGUUUUUUUUGGAACAUAAAUAGUAUUUCUACGUGAACAGGACACGAAAUUCUUGUCUUGUGCUCAUCUAUCUAUAUCUGGAUCAGAGUGUUUCACUAUUUUGGACCUUCCUUUGUGGAUAGAAGUCUGAUAGAAGAACAGAAAGAAAAGCCGUCAGCUGUCGAAGCUUUGAGCUGGAGCGGCUAAAUUUGGAGUCACUUCAAGCAAUUCGUCGCCACUCUCACUUCCUCUCGACAGGAUACAGAAUACUGUAUACAGAACACAGAACACAGAACACAGAAUACAGAGUACAGAGUACAGAACACAGAACACAGAACACGGAACACGGAACACAGAAUACAGAAUACAGAACACAGGACACAGAACACAGAGUACAGAGUACAGCAGCAGCCGCUCACAUGUGGACGCAGCCUCAGAGUCAGGAGUACGUAGAUGUAGACGUAAAUUGGUGAGCCUGGUCGAUAGCUCUCAGGGCUUUAGCCCUUUUCUAUCCAUAGGCAGUCAUCAUUGGAGGGAGGAGAGAGGAGAUGGAGGAGGAGUCCAGUUGGUGUUCCACCUGAAGAAGCUUCAUCAUAUCCUCUACUGAUCUCUCUGUGAGGGCUUUAGGGAUUAACUAAAUGACUCUGCAGUUAGCUUUUAAAUCACACAAUGUCUCCAGAAAUAGUGUCCUCUCAGCUAAUGCCUCAUCAUUGUGCCGGAGCAGUGAUGGCUUCGCUAAGUCUGCAAGACGGGACUCAGCUUUGGCACCGCCGUGACCCAUUUGUAGGCUGUUAGCUGCCAUCAUCUCGGUGUGAAAUAUAUAAAAUAAUAAUAAUAAAAUGAGUGGAAGAGGA